AGACCCGAAACCCGGUGAUCUAGCCAUGGGCAGGUUGAAGGUUGGGUAACACUAACUGGAGGACCGAACCGACUAAUGUUGAAAAAUUAGCGGAUGACCUGUGGCUGGGGGUGAAAGGCCAAUCAAACCGGGAGAUAGCUGGUUCUCCCCGAAAGCUAUUUAGGUAGCGCCUCGUGAAUUCAUCUCCGGGGGUAGAGCACUGUUUCGGCUAGGGGGCCAUCCCGGCUUACCAACCCGAUGCAAACUGCGAAUACCGGAGAAUGUUAUCACGGGAGACACACGGCGGGUGCUAACGUCCGUCGUGAAGAGGGAAACAACCCAGACCGCCAGCUAAGGUCCCAAAGUCAUGGUUAAGUGGGAAACGAUGUGGGAAGGCCCAGACAGCCAGGAUGUUGGCUUAGAAGCAGCCAUCAUUUAAAGAAAGCGUAAUAGCUCACUGGUCGAGUCGGCCUGCGCGGAAGAUGUAACGGGGCUAAACCAUGCACCGAAGCUGCGGCAGCGAACGUAUCACCCAAGACAACUUUACGGAGUUGACGAUUGACGGAGCGAAGCGACGUCAAAGCGUUCAUUAAAGUCGAGUUGGCUUAGGGAUACGUUCGUUGGGUAGGGGAGCGUUCUGUAAGCCUGUGAAGGUGUGUCGUGAGGCAUGCUGGAGGUAUCAGAAGUGCGAAUGCUGACAUAAGUAACGAUAAAGCGGGUGAAAAGCCCGCUCGCCGGAAGACCAAGGGUUCCUGUCCAACGUUAAUCGGGGCAGGGUGAGUCGACCCCUAAGGCGAGGCCGAAAGGCGUAGUCGAUGGGAAACGGGUUAAUAUUCCCGUACUUGGUGUUACUGCGAAGGGGGGACGGAGAAGGCUAUGUUGGCCGGGCGACGGUUGUCCCGGUUUAAGCGUGUAGGUGUGUGUUCCAGGUAAAUCCGGUUCACUUUAACACUGAGGCGUGACGACGAGGCACUACGGUGCUGAAGCAACAAAUGCCCUGCUUCCAGGAAAAGCCUCUAAGCAUCAGGUAACAUCAAAUCGUACCCCAAACCGACACAGGUGGUCAGGUAGAGAAUACCAAGGCGCUUGAGAGAACUCGGGUGAAGGAACUAGGCAAAAUGGUGCCGUAACUUCGGGAG
rnacentral:rRNA from 1 species